GGUGUACCAGUUGUCGCGUCAGCGGCAUCGCUGGGUAGCUAUGUCGGGAAGGGAUAAACGCUGAAGGCAUCUAAGCGUGAAGCCCACCUCAAGAUAAGAUUUCCCUGCCUAGUGCAAUAAGAUCCCUCGAAGAACACGAGGUUGAUAGGCUGGAGGUGUAAGUGUGGUAACACAUGUAGCUGACCAGUACUAAUAGAUCGAAGACUUAAUCUU
rnacentral:rRNA from 1 species